AGUGGCGGACGGGUGAGUAAUGUCUGGGGAUCUGCCCGAUAGAGGGGGAUAACCACUGGAAACGGUGGCUAAUACCGCAUAACGUCGCAAGACCAAAGAGGGGGACCUUCGGGCCUCUCACUAUCGGAUGAACCCAGAUGGGAUUAGCUAGUAGGCGGGGUAAUGGCCCACCUAGGCGACGAUCCCUAGCUGGUCUGAGAGGAUGACCAGCCACACUGGAACUGAGACACGGUCCAGACUCCUACGGGAGGCAGCAGUGGGGAAUAUUGCACAAUGGGCGCAAGCCUGAUGCAGCCAUGCCGCGUGUAUGAAGAAGGCCUUCGGGUUGUAAAGUACUUUCAGCGGGGAGGAAGGCGAUGCGGUUAAUAACCGCGUCGAUUGACGUUACCCGCAGAAGAAGCACCGGCUAACUCCGUGCCAGCAGCCGCGGUAAUACGGAGGGUGCAAGCGUUAAUCGGAAUUACUGGGCGUAAAGCGCACGCAGGCGGUCUGUUAAGUCAGAUGUGAAAUCCCCGGGCUUAACCUGGGAACUGC
rnacentral:rRNA from 1 species